AACGAACGCUGGCGGCAGGCUUAACACAUGCAAGUCGAACGGGUGUAGCAAUACAUCAGUGGCAGACGGGUGAGUAACACGUGGGAACCUUCCUAGGGGUACGGAACAACUCAGGGAAACUUGAGCUAAUACCGUAUACGUCCGUGAGGAGAAAGAUUUAUCGCCCUUAGACGGGCCCGCGUCGGAUUAGGUAGUUGGUGGGGUAACGGCCUACCAAGCCUACGAUCCGUAGCUGAUCUGAGAGGAUGAUCAGCCACACUGGGACUGAGACACGGCCCAGGCUCUUACGGGAGGCAGCAGUGGGGAAUCUUGGACAAUGGGCGAAAGCCUGAUCCAGCCAUGCCGCGUGAGUGAAGAAGGCCUUAGGGUUGUUAAGCUCUUUUGCCAGGGACGAUAAUGACGGUACCUGGAGAAUAAGCCCCGGCAAACUUCGUGCCAGCCGCCGCGGUAACAC
rnacentral:rRNA from 1 species